UACGGAGGGAGCUAGCGUUGUUCGGAAUUACUGGGCGUAAAGCGUUCGUAGGCGGUUAUUCAAGUCAGAGGUGAAAGCCCGGGGCUCAACCCCGGAACGGCCUUUGAAACUAGGUAACUAGAAUCUUGGAGAGGUUAGUGGAAUUCCGAGUGUAGAGGUGAAAUUCGUAGAUAUUCGGAAGAACACCAGUGGCGAAGGCGACUAACUGGACAAGUAUUGACGCUGAGGUACGAAAGCGUGGGGAGCAAACAGG
rnacentral:rRNA from 1 species